CUGGUGUCAGCCGCCGCGGUAAUACCAGCACCCCGAGUGGUCGGGACGAUUAUUGGGCCUAAAGCAUCCGUAGCCGGCCUUACAAGUCCUCCGUUAAAUCCAGCUGCUUAACAGAUGGGCUGCGGAGAAUACUAUAAGACUAGGAGGCAGGAGAGGCAAGCGGUACUCAAUGGGUAGGGGUAAAAUCCGUUGAUCCAUUGAAGACCACCAGUGGCGAAGGCGGCUUGCCAGAAUGCGCUCGACGGUGAGGGAUGAAAGCUGGGGGAGCAAACCGGAUUAGAUACCCGGGUAGUCCCAGCUGUAAACGAUGCAGACUCGGUGAUGGACUAGCUUUAUGCUGGUCCAGUGCCGCAGGGAAGCCGUUAAGUCUGCCGCCUGGGUAGUACGGUCGCAAGACUGAAACUUAAAG
rnacentral:rRNA from 2 species